GGGGAUGUAGCUCAGUGGUAGAGCGCUCGCUUCGCAUGUGAGAGGCCUCGGGUUCAAUACCCGACAUCUCCA
rnacentral:tRNA from 1 species